rnacentral:lncRNA from 1 species
AGAGCCCAGGGAGGCCCUUGAGAUGGGGGUCCAUUUGGCCACCCGUGAGAUCUGCCCUUAAGGCCACACACACACGGCCUCCGCGGGACCCACUGAAGCCUGUUCUCCCACUUUUUCUUCUUCUGUCCUCACUUCCUAUAAGAGACUCCAUGUUUAAGUUCAUCCUAUCCUGCCUUCAGGCUUCACAAGAACUGGCCCUCUUAUUGCCACAAGUGGAAGAGAUGUUAUUUGCCAGAAGCUCUCUUAGGGAAAGCACAGUUAUGCAUGUGGAAACACAUGUCCAUAAGCUGCUUGGCCCAAGAGUGAAAUCCCAAGGGCACAAUCAACUGCAGAAGCGGAUUUCAAAACUGAUAUAAGACCACAGGUUUUGGCCUUCCGACUCCUGGAAAUAGGAGAUUUGUAUCAUGGAAUGGCUACAAUAAUUAGCACUUCAGAUCUUGGCAUGAGGAAGUCCUAGAGGG